rnacentral:rRNA from 1 species
UACGGAGGGGGCUAGCGUUGUCCGAAGUUACUGGGCGUAAAGGGCGCGUAGGCGGCAACUCAAGUCAGCUGUGAAAUCUCCGAGCUUAACUCGGAACGGUCAGCUGAUACUGUUUUGCUAGAGUGCAGAAGGGGCAAUCGGAAUUCUUGGUGUAGCGGUGAAAUGCGUAGAUAUCAAGAGGAACACCUGAGGUGAAGACGGGUUGCUAGGCUGACACUGACGCUGAGGCGCGAAAGCCAGGGGAGCAAACGGG